rnacentral:tRNA from 1 species
GGAGAGAUGUCCGAGUGGUCGAAGGAGCACGCCUGGAAAGUGUGUAUACGGCAACGUAUCGAGGGUUCGAAUCCCUCUCUCUCCGCCA